rnacentral:lncRNA from 13 species
CAGCAAGAAAGUUUGAGGUCCCCACAGUUUCUGCGCACAUCAGGGCGACAAACGUGGACACUGUCUGGUUCACCUUUCAACUCCAAGGCCUACUCUGGGACUUCCAGGACGGGGUUUCACCAUGUUGGUCAGGCUGGUCUUGAACUCACAACCUCCGGUGAUCCGCCCACCUUGGUCUCCAAAGUGCUUGGAUUACCAUGCCCGGCCGAUUCAUGACUCCAUUGGCUUCACACAGAGUUUUGAAGACACCUUGCUGUCCUUUGUCUGCCUUUCUGGCUAAACAGAAGUCACCUGCGAGCGGAAUACAUCAGACCAGGAAAUUGAAUCCAGAGCCUCAGGCCAGCAAGGACAUGAGGAUGACUGAUGAGUAUGCACCACGAACGUCAAGAGCAUGAGGAAAACACUGCAGACCCAUUGAAGCUUGCAGGGGACUACCUGCUCCCCGCGCCAAUCCUAAAUGUCAUCAGAGCUGUCUAGUGGGAUGGGGCAGGGCUCCAGGGCCCUCACACCUAGAUAUUCUGACGGCCCACCAGUGCCCUCUAGGAAGGCAAUGUUGGAUCUAACUCUGAAGUCUGGAGAUCUCUAGACAAAGGAGAUGGUUAUCUUUUGAAAUGUGACAUACCAGAACACAGGGUUGAAGAGCCCAUGGCACUGUCUUAAUUUCCUAUCAUUCCUCAAAUGUUUUCAGUUGAGCAAAACGCAUUUUAUAAAGCCACUUCUCCUCCAAAAAUGUUAAACCCAGAUUUCAAAAUAAGAGAAAUAAUCUCCUUAUGAACCUGAUUCAUACUUUUAUGGGAAGCUUGGCAAACAGAAAAUUGGUGGUUCCUCUGUCUCAGAUUGCGUAGCCAAAAAAGG